rnacentral:rRNA from 1 species
UACGUAGGGUGCGAGCGUUAAUCGGAAUUACUGGGCGUAAAGCGUGCGCAGGCGGUGAUGUAAGACAGUUGUGAAAUCCCCGGGCUCAACCUGGGAACUGCAUCUGUGACUGCAUUGCUGGAGUGCGGCAGAGGGGGAUGGAAUUCCGCGUGUAGCAGUGAAAUGCGUAGAUAUGCGGAGGAACACCGAUGGCGAAGGCAAUCCCCUGGGCCUGCACUGACGCUCAUGCACGAAGGCGUGGGGAGCAAACAGG